rnacentral:misc_RNA from 1 species
GUGUCUUUCAAUGUAGCACAUAGGUAAACAGAUAAUAUUAAAUGGUUCUUUACUCUUUCUAGAAGUGGAUUUUAUUUAUAUAAAGAGUUUGGAUCUUGUUAUUUCAAUACGUUUAAUAAAAAUAUGUGUGUUUUGGCCUUUCCCAUCUGUAUUUUGAUAUCAAGAGUCAUAGUAACAGUGUUUAAUUUAUAAUUUUGGAAGUAACAUAUAAUAAUAUGGUAAUUCAUAAUUUGAUACAAGCAUGUUUGUUCCAACUGGAAAUCAACAUGCUUCUCCAUAUGAUUUUAUGACUUCUCUUUCUAUUUGUUUUAGCUCAUGUGUCCUUGAAAGGUUCAUAGUAAGUGCAUGUUAUUCUUGGUUGUGCAAUUCCAUUCUAGAGUUUAGUUCCUGCACUCUUGAAA